rnacentral:rRNA from 15 species
CCUGGUGGCUUUAGCGAAGCGAUCAGACCCGAUCCCAUCCCGAACUCGGCCGUCAAACGCUCCAGCGCCAAUGGUACUAUGUCUCAAGACCUGGGAGAGUAGGUCGUCGCCAGGC